rnacentral:rRNA from 1 species
AGAACGAACGCUGGCGGCAUGCCUAACACAUGUAAGUCGAACGCUCUUGGGGCUUCGGUUCCAAGGGAGUGGCGCACGGGUGAGUAGCGCGUGGGAACCUGCCCUGGAGUGGGGGAUAACCGAGGGAAACUUCGGCUAAUACCGCAUGCGCCCGGGAAACCGGGGAAAGAUUUAUCGCUCUAGGAGGGGCCCGCGUCGGAUUAGCUAGUUGGUGGGGUAACGGCCUACCAAGGCUUUGAUCCGUAGCUGGUCUGAGAGGAUGAUCAGCCACACUGGGACUGAGACACGGCCCAGACUCCUACGGGAGGCAGCAGUGGGGAAUAUUGGACAAUGGGCGCAAGCCUGAUCCAGCAAUGCCGCGUGAGUGAUGAAGGCCUUAGGGUUGUAAAGCUCUUUCGCCCGCGACGAUGAUGACGGUAGCGGGAGAAGAAGCCCCGGCUAACUUCGUGCCAGCAGCCGC